rnacentral:rRNA from 1 species
GUGUCAGCCGCCGCGGUAAUACGUAGGGGGCAAGCGUUGUCCGGAAUUAUUGGGCGUAAAGCGCGCGCAGGCGGCUUACUAAGUCUGGUGUGAAAGCCCACGGCUCAACCGUGGAGGGCCAUUGGAAACUGGUAAGCUUGAGUGCAGGAGAGGAGAGCGGAAUUCCUGGUGUAGCGGUGAAAUGCGUAGAUAUCAGGAGGAACACCCGUGGCGAAGGCGGCUCUCUGGCCUGUAACUGACGCUGAGGCGCGAAAGCGUGGGGAGCAAACAGGAUUAGAAACCCUAGUAGUCC